GCCUUUUCUAUCUUGUGUCAUUUAUGUAACGUAAUAUAUCUGUUCUUCAUAUUUAUAAUCGCUGCAGGCCUGGUCAAGGAGGAGUUGCUCAGUGAACUACUAGUUUGAGUUCCCUGAGACGGACACCACUGACAUCACCUACAGUGCCGAGGUGCUGCCACGGACUUUGGCUCGUGGGGGUGCCGUCGCUACUGACAAAGCCUGUGCUCCCCGUUGUCCCUGUUGAAAUGGUGGCUGGAACUUGGAGAGGGUUUGCUGCCACAGCCGGAUCCAGUGUUACAUUCCUGUGGCUUUUUGGUUGUUUCCCAAUUAUUGAAGGGAGUUGCAGGCUUAUCAUGGGCAA